rnacentral:lncRNA from 1 species
ACCCUGAGGUGCUGGGUGCUGAGGCCCUGAAUGUCUACCAAACUGAAAUCAACCCUAACCUGGCAGAGUUAUGGGAACAAGCAGAAUCAGGACAUGGAGGUGGUAUAGACCAGGCCUGCAGGGAGUGGAUCCUUCCAGAUAUAGGCAGCUUGGUAAUGCCCUGGGGAAGAGCAGAGAUACAGAUGUCCUGUGAUUCAUGAGGGGCUGCCUGAGCACAUCACCCUGG